rnacentral:rRNA from 1 species
UACGUAGGUGGCAAGCGUUGUCCGGAAUUAUUGGGCGUAAAGCGCGCGCAGGCGGUCCUUUAAGUCUGAUGUGAAAAGCCCCACGGCUCAACCGUGGAGGGUCAUUGGAAACUGGGGGGACUUGAGUACAGAAGAGAAGAGUGGAAUUCCACGUGUAGCGGUGAAAUGCGUAGAGAUGUGGAGGAACACCAGUGGCGAAGGCGACUCUUUGGUCUGUAACUGACGCUGAGGCGCGAAAGCGUGGGGGAGCAAACAGG